UCACCCCUCAAGCUCCGGCUUGGUGUUGGGCUACUUGGUUUGGCCACAAACCGGUCUCAAAGAUAGUGACGGCGUCCUGGAAGGAGCCCGUACGAGGAGCUUUUCGUUAAGCAUGUACGCGGUAUGAUUCUCGGGGCGACGGUCUUUACCUAGUACUUAUACCAGUG
rnacentral:misc_RNA from 1 species